GUGAGGAAUUUUCCGCAAUGGGCGAAAGCCUGACGGAGCAAUGCCGCGUGAAGGAUGAAGGCCUAUGGGUUGUAAACUUCUUUUCUUAGAGAAGAAUAUUGACGGUAUCUGAGGAAUAAGCAUCGGCUAACUCUGUGCCAGCAGCCGCGGUAAGACAGAGGAUGCAAGCGUUAUCCGGAAUGAUUGGGCGUAAAGCGUCUGUAGGUGGCUUCAAAAGUCUCCUGUAAAAGAUCCGGGCUUAACCCUGGGCCGGCAGGAGAAACUCUGAGGCUAGAGUUUGGUAGGGGCAGAGGGAAUUCCCGGUGGAGCGGUGAAAUGCGUAGAGAUCGGGAGGAACACCAAAGGCGAAAGCACUCUGCUGGGCCACAACUGACACUGAGAGACGAAAGCGAGGGGAGCAAAAGGGAUUAGAUACCCUUGUAGUCC
rnacentral:rRNA from 1 species